rnacentral:rRNA from 1 species
GCAUAAUAAAUUGUCCAUUAAUUAUGGACUAGAAUGAACGGAGGAACGAAAUAAGCACUGUCUCAAUAGAGCAAAUAAAAACUAUUAUCUAAGUGAAGAAACUUAGAUCAAAUUAAAGGACAAGAAGACCCUAUAGAGCUUUAUCUAUACUUAUAAAAAUAAUAAUAGAUUCGGUUGGGGCGACCAAGGAUAAUUCAUCCUAAACCUAUUAGAUACACAAAUCAAACAACAGAUCCUAAUAAGAUUGCAGAAUCAAGCUACCUUAGGGAUAACAGGCUAAUCCUACUAUAGAGUCCUUAUCGACAGUAGGGA